AUCAAAGAGAAGGUCUGAGACGGUGGUCGUCGGCAGUAUGAAAUGCCACCUGUUGUACAACUGAUUCUCUAACCGAAAUUUCAGCUAGCUUACACCAUUCUUUCAUUCUUCUGUACUGAAGUUUGUGUUAUGGUGAAGCAAUUUCCAAAGCCUAAGAGAGUCAUCAAUCAACUAAUUACGCCCUUCUUGGAGCCUAAUCAGAAUUGUGGUUUCCAGGUGUAGAGUGUCUUAUGUCUUACACAGGAGGGCUUGGGCAACUCCUCUCCAAAUGGCCACAAGUGUUUACAGUGACCGGACAAAGGAAGACUCAGAAACAAGCAGAAGAAAAUGCUCAUCUGAUGGCCUGUGUUGUCUACAGGGUUUGGUGUGUUUGUCACAAUGUAGUUUGGUACUUAGUUCAGACAUGUAUUUGAAACUUCCACUAACCUAGACUAAAGAUUCUUAAGUAUAGGAUGAAGUUCAUUAUGAACAAAAUUCUUCUCAAAGCAGUUUGUAGCAGCAUUAAAGCUUUACUUAGAAUUAUACUUGUAGCAAAGCCAUUUGGCUCCUUUUAUGAUGACCAGAAUCAGUAGAUGGUAAUUUGCUUUUAAGAUUCUUUUUAUAUAGUGUAAAGAAGACAAAUUCAAUGGUAAUGGUUCAGCAAUUGAGAAGAGAGACUAAGAUUCUUGGAUGUGAGUUUUCUUACUACAUAUACCUGGUGUGUACCUAUACUUAUUGAAUGAAGUUCAGUGUAUAUUCAGUUCCUCCUGACAUAGCUUUCAGUAUCUAGGAGUUCUCUCCAAUGGGAAAGUUGAAGAUACACAGAGCAUUGAUGCCAUCUGUUGACAGCAAUACCUGUUACCACACCUGGAGCAAACAAGCUCCCAUUACAGUCCAUUUUCCAGUUUGCGAGCACCUGUGAAGUGCUCUGUGAAGAUGGUGUGAGAAGAUAGUUCUCCAUGUUACACAUUUCCCAUUCCUUCAACCUUACAGCACUUGGGAAAGGACUGUCACAAGAUGCUGCACAUCACAUUGCCUUUCUUAAUGCCUGUAUGAAGCUUAAGGUAAUGGGUUGCCUUUCUUCUCACAAUUCUUUUGACAUGGUCAAAAUAAAGAGUAGGUAUGAAACUGAGCUUUACAUUUGGGUUCCUCCUCCAGAUUAUGCCCUCUUUGUGGACGCCUCCAGGGUUGGGUAUGGAGCCCUUCUCACCCCAACUUCUGGUAGCAGCAGUCACAAAGCUCAGUGGAUUUCAGACACCUGGCCAUGUAUACUUGGAAAACACACAUUUUUGAACAAAAACGGUUGGAUCUGGUCAAACGACUAGCAGGUUGUGCAUCUUGUGAAUGAAGGAGAUGGUGCCAGGAAGAGGGCUAGUGGAGGCAACUGUGGCAAAAUACUACAAGUUCUAAGGCAAACUUGUGAGAAACGCAACAUCAGUGUUUGUGCUCAGCAUUUGAGUCGUCUGGACAAGGUGGCGACGGAUAUUCUGUCCAAACUGGACCUGGAGAAGUUCAGAGCUGUUGUGGCAGAUGCUGCCACCAAACCAAAGAAAACAAAGAAGCUGUUGUAACAAAUCGACAGCUAACAAGGAGCGUGAUGACUUAUUUUAUUCUUUAUUUUUUUGCUAUUCAUGCUGAAUCCUGCCAUAAUAUUCUGUAAUCCAGGAUUUGAAGUCUUUCAUAAUUUUCAUGCAAACAUGAUGUAGAUGUGAAUAUACUUUUUUGGUUCAUUCGUGCCAAGUAUAUGUGGAAAAUUAUAGCAGUCUUUAAGCAAUUUAGCUUUGUAUGUGUUCGACAUAUUUCAGGGUCCCAUUUCCACCAGCUGCAAAUACUUCAUAACCACUUCAAGUAUUACAAAAUAGGGAGGGUGGAUGGGAGAGUACAAAUAGGUGUAUUGCAAUAUUUUCUGAGAGUUUUUCGUUUGAAGGAGAUGCUGAAACCUUGAAACAUGUUGUUCUAGCUUGGAGUAUUAAAAUCAUUCUUUUUGAACUAUGCUUUUAAAUGUUUUUCUGAAAAACUGCAAAUCACACCUGUUUGAAAUACGGCAACACAAUUCUCUCAGAUAUUAUAUUUAAAUGUUUUGAAGAUGUUUGUUCUAGGUCAUGUAGCCAUGUUGGAUUUCGAUCACAUCCUUUAAGGAUUUUCUCCAAAACCAAUGGAUGAAUCUUUCUGAAAUCUGAUACGCAUGUGCAUCUUUGCUAGUUACUUAAAAGGAUGAAGAAAAACAUCAAAAAUCUGUUAAACUUUAGAAGCUUGUCACUGGUCAAGUAUGUGAUAUUAUUACAUUAAUCCAGAAUGACCAAUGGAAAUGAUUGUAACAUCUUAAGCCAGGAUAUGUUGUGAAGUUACUGUCAAUAAACAAUGCAAUGCAAAU